CCAUCGGCAGCAUUAACACAAGGGCUUUCUGGGGUUUGUGCCGUAUGACUUCAGCUCCUCGUGUCAGUGAGAUGUCAGAACGCUCAAUACUGUCAGUCCAGACCGAUGAAUAUCGUACAGUCUGACAGUAAAGCCUGCUGAUGACACACAGAUCCUGCCGUCUGACAGCAGUCAUAGCUGUAGAUUCACCUAUCCACACCAGCAGAAAUGUAUGAAAACAUUUUUUAAAAAUCAGGCAAAUAUCCGUUAGCUUUCAUCCUGAAGGUCCUCUUCCAUAUUUUUCCUUCUGUGAUUUGCUCUGAGCCAGAAGAGAGCGAAAUGCUGCAACGCUCCCAGCAUCUUCAACUUGACUUUCCCUCUCAAGAGUGUCAACAAGCUCCCAGCUGCUUCAGGAAGGGGAUGUUUUACCAGCUCAGCGGAUGCAGAAAAUCAAGAACACUAACUGGAAGUUGUCUCUAAGAUGCUGGGGUUAGUGAUGGAUGACUGCGUGAAAAGAACCACAGUGGCCUAUAAAGAUGCUCACGUCUGCACUCUAUAUUAUGCUGCUGUCUUAACACUCAAAAAAUAUAUUUAUUUAUUUAUG